rnacentral:rRNA from 1 species
AACGAACGCUGGCGGCAUGCCUAACACAUGCAAGCCGAACGAAGCCUUCGGGCUUAGUGGCGCACGGGUGCGUAACGCGUGGGAAUCUGCCCUUGGGUUCGGAAUAACAGUUAGAAAUGACUGCUAAUACCGGAUGAUGUCUUCGGACCAAAGAUUUAUCGCCCAAGGAUGAGCCCGCGUAGGAUUAGGUAGUUGGUAGGGUAAUGGCCAACCAAGCCGACGAUCCUUAGCUGGUCUGAGAGGAUGAUCAGCCACACUGGGACUGAGACACGGCCCAGACUCCUACGGGAGGCAGCAGUGGGGAAUAUUGGACAAUGGGCGAAAGCCUGAUCCAGCAAUGCCGCGUGAGUGAUGAAGGCCUUAGGGUUGUAAAGCUCUUUUACCAGGGAUGAUAAUGACAGUACCUGGAGAAUAAGCUCCGGCUAACUCCGUGCCAGCCGCCGCAGUAA